rnacentral:rRNA from 1 species
CCAGACUCCUACGGGAGGCAGCAGUGAGGAAUAUUGGUCAAUGGGCGCGAGCCUGAACCAGCCAAGUCGCGUGAGGGAUGACGGCCCUACGGGUUGUAAACCUCUUUUGUCGGGGAGCAAAUUCCGUUACGUGUAACGGAGUCGAGAGUACCCGAAGAAAAAGCAUCGGCUAACUCCGUGCCAGCAGCCGCGGUAAUACGGAGGAUGCGAGCGUUAUCCGGAUUUAUUGGGUUUAAAGGGAGCGUAGAUGGGUUGUUAAGUCAGUUGUGAAAGUUUGCGGCUCAACCGUAAAAUUGCAAUUGAUACUGGCAGCCUUGAGUACAGUUGAGGUAGGCGGAAUUCGUGGUGUAGCGGUGAAAUGCUUAGAUAUCACGAAGAACUCCGAUUGCGAAGGCAGCAUGCCGGCUCCACACUGACGCUGAGGCACGAAAGCGUGGGUAUCGAACAGGAUUAGAUACCCCAGUACUC